AGAGCGAACGCUGGCGGCAGGCCUAACACAUGCAAGUCGAGCGCCCGUAGCAAUACGGGAGCGGCAGACGGGAUAGUAACACGUGGGAACGCGCCCUUCGGUUCGGAAUAACUCAGGGAAACUUGAGCUAAUACCGGAUACGCCCUUACGGGGAAAGAUUUAUUGCCGAAGGAACGGCCCGCGUCCGAUUAGCUAGUUGGUGAGGUAAUGGCUCACCAAGGCGACGAUCGGUAGCUGGUCUGAGAGGAUGACCAGCAUCACUGGGACUGAGACACGGCCCAGACUCCUACGGGAGGCAGCAGUGGGGAAUAUUGGACAAUGGGCGCAAGCCUGAUCCAGCCAUGCCGCGUGGAUGAUGAAGGCCUUAGGGUUGUAAAGUCCUUUUAACGGGGAGAUAAUGACGGUACCCGUAGAAUAAGCCCCGGACUAACUUCGUGCCAGCAGCCGC
rnacentral:rRNA from 1 species